UUCGCUCUACGGGAGGCAGCAGUGGGGGAUAUUGCACAAUGGGGGAAACCCUGAUGCAGCAACGCCGCGUGAGUGAAGAAGGUCUUCGGAUUGUAAAGCUCUGUUCUUGGUGAAGAUAAUGACGGUAGCCAAGGAGAAAGCUCCGGCUAACUACGUGCCAGCAGCCGCGGUAAUACGUAGGGAGCGAGCGUUGUCCGGAUUUACUGGGUGUAAAGGGUGCGCAGGCGGCUCUGCAAGUCAGGCGUGAAAGCUAGGGGCUCAACACCUAAACUGCGCUGGAAACUGUGGAGCUUGAGUGAAGAAGA
rnacentral:rRNA from 1 species